CCCCUAUGUACCUCAGAGGAACUUUCAUGUUGCAUCUAUCAUGACAUUCCUCAUCUCAGUGCCUAUCAGUCUCACCUCGGUGCCAGGGGAGGUCACGGAACGGAUAAUCUCGGGAACCAUCAUGGACCAACUAAAGGUCAACCAGGGGAUCAGGCCCAGUCAGCAUGGGUUUAUGAACGGACCUCCAUUUGCACCUCAGCCAGUAUGCACCGGGCUCACAGUUAGCGGUUGGGUUUAAUCCUUUUACUCCUUGUGUGAAGGAAUGCACACCCACCGGCAGCUCUCCUCAGCUCAGGCUCAUCCUCCUCUCCUCCAAAGGGCCUGAGUAUGGAUCUUUGCCUUUACUCAGUGCUCUCUACACUAUUUCCAGCCUUGGCACUCUUUCAGCAAAAUUAAGAGGAUAAGAAGAGCUUUGCUGCACGAGCUAUCAAAUGCUUCUCCCUAUCUGUGAAGUGCCACAAAGGCUGCUGCGAAGCGUCCUUUUUCCAGCCCAGGUAGCUCUUUACAGCUGCUCUAUGCUUUUUACUGGGUUAUCUGCAGAAGCUCCUUGUGUUUCCACUGUUUGUAAAUUGUGUUUCUUUCUGCUGUGUUCCCUCCUUUCCGCAUUCUCCACACUCACCAUAACUCACUGCACACUGUAUCUCUGCCUCCCAAGAAGAGGUUAAUUUUGGUUGACUGAAAUAUGCAGUGGGGACAUGGGAGAAUCUCCUGUCCCUGUAGUUACAUGCUUCUACUCUUUUCCAAAGCCAAACAAUAAAAUACAACUGGGAAAGACACAACAGUGUUGCCGCUCUGUCAACACGGGCAGUGAUGUUACUUGUCAACAUAAGUGUGCCCAAAGGUUUGGUUUGCUGCUGCUGCUUGGAUUGUGGAACAACCAGGAUGGCUUUGUGAGCCUGGGAACAUGCAAAACUCCAAUGAGAAGCAGCCCCUGGCCUGAGGAGCUGCAGCACUGUUGGACAGACAGACAGGGAGAAGUCACGGAGACGGUGCUGGGAUGAGGAGUAAUUAAUCCCAGGCUUCUGCUAUUGGAGGGCUCUCCAGGGCCCUGAGUUGACCACUAAAGCAGGCACCAACUCUAAGGAGAUUUUAUAGUCCCUUUUACUCAAUCAGUGAACGUUUAAGGCAAUAUUUUGACAUUCCUGUAUUGAUUUUACUCUGUGUAUCUCUGGCGAGCCAUUUUGCUGCAGCACCAGCUCACUGAGCAAGCAGUUUUAAGCUGAACGGAUGCCUCCUAGCUUUAGAGUCCUUCUUGGAGAUGCUGUUGUCCACCUGAAGGACAGCUUUGCCCUGGUGUGAUUUGAGACUGGCUGGUGGAUGCGGCUUGUGAAAGGUGCUGAGAGUCUGUUGCCUAAAAGUCUAAUAAAAUCAAAUGCUGUGAC